rnacentral:lncRNA from 1 species
GAACAAUAAUAAUGUUUUUGUUAUAGAAAGGUACUAAGAAUGUUUAUCUAUGGGGAGAAAAUGUAUCAAGAGAAAUAGAAAGAUAAAUCUUAAAAGACCUUAUGCUAAUAAUUAAGGACUCAUGUAGAGAAUUUCUCUAAUUGUUUUGCGAUUCUCAUUUCUUUGAUCCUCAUCAAGUGUCAUGAAGGUUCAGAAGGAAAAUGGCAGGAGCUGGACCUCUACAGG